rnacentral:lncRNA from 1 species
GUCAUCCACCAGCUGCGGCUCUCAGAGAAUGAGAGUGUGGCCCUGCAGGAGCUGCUGGACUGGAGGCGGAAGCUCUGCGAGGAGAGAGACUGGCAGCAGGUCCUGCAGCAACAAGAGCCCUGUGCACCCCCGCCGCCGCCCUGCAAGAAGCCCACGCUGCUGAAGAAGCCAGAAGGGGCCUCCUGCAGCCGCCUGCCCCCCAAGCUCUGGGACACCACCAUCUAGGGCCCUGGGCUGCAGACACAAGGACGCAGGCUGCCUUGGGGGACACUGCAUUGACCCUCUCCCCACACAUCGAUUAGAAAAAGCACCGGACACGGAUGCUCCGAUAGGACGCAUUUCCUGUGUGCGUGUGUGUGGGUGUGCGUGCGUGUGUGUGGGGUGUGUUCUUUCUUCCCUUUUCUGUGAUUGUCAGGCUCCACAUUUAUAGGGCUGCACUCCCCACAAGUGGGGACAGAAAAGCCAGGCGCGUGAGCCGAGGAGGGGCGGCAGCCAGCAGGGAGCAGUGACAGGGGACCCACGGGCGCCUGGGCAGGGCAGUUCCCUGGAGCUCGGCCACAUGGCUCACCCUCACCGCGGCUUCGUGCUGCUCCUGUGCACAAGACUCACUUGUUUAUUUCCUCCUAGGUGUUUGUGUUCUGUUUGAAUUCCAACUCAGUGAUUAUUUGCGCGUAGAAGACUGUGUUUUAUAACUCGAUGCACUUGGUGGUGCGCCCUUCUUUCGAACACAAAUUUUAAAACGCCACUUCUAGGUUUUUCCCUUCACACGUGUUGUUUGAUUGACCUGGAUUGUCCACCCCCUGGGGACCAUGUUGUUGCUUGGCUUUGCAGUGUCACCUUGGGCCCAGCCCCAUGGUGUCUUAGACUUCGCUCUCGGUUAGGGGACAGCUGGAUCCCUCAGCCGGCCUCUGCAUUUGGGGCAGCGGCCUGUGUGCCCCUUAGCAAAACCCCGCCCCGCCCUGGCUUUGGUGCUCAGCUACGCGUGCAUGGCUUCCGGUUCANCACUGUGGUGCAAAAGGUCAUCCCAAGGUCACAGUGUGGGUCUUGGGCUCAGCCCUGCUGGCUGGUGCAGCAGUGCUGCAUCUCAGGCCUCCCCCCACCAGCGGCACUGCAUGACCCUCCCACUAUGUCCCCUCCCUCCUGUCACCCAGUGGCUCUGCUUCUGCUUCCUUGUGCAUUUCCAUCCCUGGGGGGUUCCCAGCAGUGGCUCCAGACCACCUGUCUUGCUACUCAGAAUUUCUUAUUCAUACCAGCCUUUGGAAUACGACUCUGCCAAUAAAAGGGUGGAAUUCCACACUGCUGUGGUGUCCUCUGCUUGGUGUCCGGGCUGGCAUCUUCCCGGAGCCCUGGAGUCUUCUGACCAGCCAUGUGGCGGCAGCAGAUCCAUCCGCCUCCCUUGCCCUGUUUGUCCUCACAGUGGCUGCAAGCGCCAGGCUCUGCGGGAUUUGUUCCGUAAGAGAAGCACUGUGGCUGCUCAGGCAUGGCGAGACCAACCACUCAGGAGGCUGAUGACCUCAGAGAGAC